GAUGAACGCUGGCGGCGUGCCUAAUACAUGCAAGUCGAGCGAACAGACGAGGAGCUUGCUCCUCUGACGUUAGCGGCGGACGGGUGAGUAACACGUGGAUAACCUACCUAUAAGACUGGGAUAACUUCGGGAAACCGGAGCUAAUACUGGAUAAUAUAUUGAACCGCAUGGUUCAAUAGUGAAAGACGGUUUUGCUGUCACUUAUAGAUGGAUCCGCGCCGCAUUAGCUAGUUGGUAAGGUAACGGCUUACCAAGGCAACGAUGCGUAGCCGACCUGAGAGCGUGAUCGGCCACCCUGGAACUGAGACACGGUCCAGACUCCUACGGGAGGCAGCAGUAGGGAAUCUUCCGCAAUGGGCGAAAGCCUGACGGAGCAACGCCGCGUGAGUGAUGAAGGUCUUCGGAUCGUAAAACUCUGUUAUUAGGGAAGAACAAAUGUGUAAGUAACUAUGCACGUCUUGACGGUACCUAAUCAGAAAGCCACGGCUAACUACGUG
rnacentral:rRNA from 1 species